rnacentral:rRNA from 1 species
UACGAAGGGUGCAAGCGUUAAUCGGAAUUACUGGGCGUAAAGCGUGCGUAGGCGGUUGUUUAAGUCUGUCGUGAAAUCCCCGGGCUCAACCUGGGAAUGGCGAUGGAUACUGGGCAGCUAGAGUGUGUCAGAGGAUGGUGGAAUUCCCGGUGUAGCGGUGAAAUGCGUAGAGAUCGGGAGGAACAUCAGUGGCGAAGGCGGCCAUCUGGGACAACACUGACGCUGAAGCACGAAAGCGUGGGGAGCAAACAGG